rnacentral:rRNA from 1 species
UACGUAGGGUGCGAGCGUUGUCCGGAAUUAUUGGGCGUAAAGAGCUCGUAGGCGGUCUGUCGCGUCUGCUGUGAAAUCCCGAGGCUCAACCUCGGGCUUGCAGUGGGUACGGGCAGGCUGAGAGUGCGGUAGGGGAGAAUGGAACUCCUGGUGUAGCGGUGGAAUGCGUAGAUAAUCGUUUGGAACGCCAAUGGUGAAAACAGACAGCUGGGAGUGUGCUGACGCUGAGACACGAAAGCCAGGGGAGCGAACGGG